UACGAAGGUGGCAAGCGUUGUUCGGAUUUACUGGGCGUACAGGGAGCGUAGGCGGUUGGAUAAGCCCUCCGUGAAAUCUCCAGGCUUAACCUGGAAAGUGCAGAGGGGACUGUUCAGCUAGAGGAUGGGAGAGGAGCGCGGAAUUCCCGGUGUAGCGGUGAAAUGCGUAGAGAUCGGGAGGAAGGCCGGUGGCGAAAGCAGCUCUCUGGGACGGUACUGACGCUGAGACGCGAAAGCGUGGGGAGCGAACAGG
rnacentral:rRNA from 1 species